UAAGGAAUAUUGGUCAAUGGGCGGAAGCCUGAACCAGCCAUGCCGCGUGCAGGAAGACGGCCCUACGGGUUGUAAACUGCUUUUGCAGGGGAAUAAACCUCGUUACGUGUAACGAGCUGAAUGUACUCUGAGAAUAAGGAUCGGCUAACUCCGUGCCAGCAGCCGCGGUAAUACGGAGGAUCCAAGCGUUAUCCGGAUUUAUUGGGUUUAAAGGGUGCGUAGGUGGCCUGUUAAGUCAGGGGUGAAAGACGGUAGCUUAACUAUCGCAGUGCCCUUGAUACUGAUGGGCUUGAAUGAACUAGAGGUAGGCGGAAUGUGACAAGUAGCGGUGAAAUGCAUAGAUAUGUCACAGAACACCAAUUGCGAAGGCAGCUUACUAUGGUUUUAUUGACACUGAGGCACGAAAGCGUGGGGAUCAAACA
rnacentral:rRNA from 1 species